AUUGUGGCUAUAGAAUCCACCAUAGUCCAUUGCACUACCUUUCGCAGAACAUACACACUAGCUUAGUGGUUUGGCAGUCCAUGAGCUCUCCCAUUCUCUUGGGCCGUCAAUUAUUUCAAGGGAGAUUUGGUCAAAUACCCUUUUUUAAAGGACUAUAAGGAUAUUUGCCCUUCUCAUCUCAAAUGUUUUUGUUUUGCCCUUUAAUUUUUCAAUACUCCUAGAUUACACUUUUCAAAUAUAAAAGAAAAGGAAAAAAUUAAUGAGACGUAUUCCAUUUUUUCUCUAACCUGGACGGACCACGAAGAAAAGAGGAAGAGAAAGUGAGAGAGAAUCAGGUCGUUGCUAGCAAUCGGAGGCAGAGAGAGGUUAGCACCAUUUGAAUUGAAGAUGGAGAGAAGCCACCUCAAGUCGCCGAUUGAGGAUUCGAGAAGGCUUGCACUUUUCGGAAAUCGGCAGUGGUUGUGUGGCGAAAACCUGAUGGAGAACACCGUUGUGCUUUCGCUUACGGACCAAAGUGAGGGCACGAUCGAAAUUUCAACACAAAAGAAGCAUUUUGGGGCAUGGAAAUAGGAGAAACUGUUAUUUGAAGCUCAGUCCAAUGGGAUUCCUUAUAAAAGGAGGUUUGGUCAGUCAUCAUCCAAUGAUUGUUGCUUGCCACUGUGAGGGUAAACGAUGGAAAUUUUGAGGUGAUAGCAAUUUGAAGAGUAAAUUUUAGGGUCACUCAAUUCAGCUUGAUCAUGUUGUUCUUUUAACGGUGGAAUUUGACGACAGAGAAAUUUUUCAAUGGAGUAAGGUUACAACAUCAAUUAACAACCUUAUAUUGGGAAAGCUCUAUUGUGACCACUGUGGUACAAUGCGUAUACAGGGGAAUCAUAACUAUUCUUGCAAGCUGAAAUUCAAGGAGCAAUCUAUCAUUGACCAAAAUCCUCACCAGGUAUGUGGUUUAGUUCAAGAUAGAAAUGGAAAAACGAUAGCAAUACUAUUUGGAAAAUGGGAUGAGAGCAUGCAUUAUGUGGAUGGAAAUUGUUCUGGGAAGGGAAAAGGAUUGGAAUCUUGACCUGAUGUCCAGUUGCUUUGGAAGAGGAGCAAGCCACCCCAGUUUCCUACAAGAUAUAACUUGACACGCUUUGACAUCACCAUGAAUGAACUCACCCCUGGAUUAAAGUUGCAGGAAAAGUUGUCCCCUAUAGAUUUAAGGCUCAGGCCUGAUCAAAGGUAUCUAGACAUUGAUUGCUACAACUUUUUAUCCCUCACCACAGGUAACAUACAUUUACAUAACCGUUGUUGUUAAAUUAUUCAUUUAAGUUAUAAUUUCCUGAAGCUUGUAUCCCGAGGUACAUAACAACAUGUUGAUUAUUAUGUUUUCUUUGUGGCUUGAGAGUAAGUUGGCUUUUAGGAAACCAGAAAUACUACUUCGGUUGGGGAAACCAGAAAAGCAUAUGUGGAUGCAAAGAGGCUGGGGACUUUUUAGAAAGAGUUCUUAUGGGGAAAUACUACUUUGGCUUACAUAUAAAGCAUAUGUUAAGGAUGAAGAGGAUGACAAAGCUGAGGCAGAAUCCACUGACAUUGAUGCUUUGGAUUGUGAAAGAAGAAACAGAGUAUUCUAAAGAAGCAAAUAAAGAGUCAUUCAUGGAUGUCUUAGUUGCUUUAAUUGCGAGUGAAGAAUUUCGAGGAAUAGUAGCGUCAGAAACCGGAACUACCAAAAUAUUGAAUAAUGUUUUAAGGGUAGAAUCAAGAAUAUCAAUGUCGCGUGGUCUUAAUGAUGAAUCCGCACCCCAAGAUUCAAACAAUAGUUCAGAACGUUCCCAAGGAUCAGCCUUAUUUUGGCUUGCUGUGAUUACAAGCAUAUCAAUGCUAAUUGCGAUAAAUAUAGGUGGUUCAAGUCUUUUCAAUCCUCGAUAUUGCAAUGUGUAACUUAGAAGGAACUAAUUUUUAGUCAUUUUACUUCAUCAAUUAAUUCUUCAAAUCAUAAAGGUCAGUUCACAAAAUUAGAUGCUUAGAAAACUGUCUUAUUCCAUGGCAGGCGGGGCAACAUUUGUUGUUUAUAUAUUGAUGGUGGAUUCACCAAGAAAAUGAAAAUAGUUUUUAGCAAUUUUAUAGUUGUUAGUAGAGGAAUGUUCUAUUGGCGGCAGAGAAUUUUUGCUUCUUGUCAAAGCUUUAUAUACAGCAAGUGGAAAAAAUCAUCUUGUAAUAUUCUCUAGUUUUUAUUCAUAAAACACUUGUACAUUUUGGUCUUACUAAUUCAGAUUUAGUUUUUAGUUUUUCUA